rnacentral:rRNA from 1 species
UACGUAGGGGGCAAGCGUUGUCCGGAAUCAUUGGGCGUAAAGAGCGUGUAGGCGGCCCGGUAAGUCCGCUGUGAAAGUCCAGGGCUCAACCCUGGGAUGCCGGUGGAUACUGUCGGGCUCGAGUCCGGAAGAGGCGAGUGGAAUUCCUGGUGUAGCGGUGAAAUGCGCAGAUAUCAGGAGGAACACCGAUUGCGAAGGCAGCUCGCUGGGACGUGACUGACGCUGAGACGCGAAAGCGUGGGGAGCAAACAGG